GUUGAGAGCGACAGUGCACACGGGAGAUAACGCUGGCGAUAACACCUGCUAUCAAACUCACUCAGCACAAAGAGACAAAACAGUCACUACUGGUAUACUGUGCUACAGUGUGCGUGUCUUAAAAAAACCACACAUAUGUUCCAUUGUAUACCUAGUGCUUCAGUAAAUGAAAAUCACAUCUAAUACCCUGAGUGCCUCUCUUCAAUUAAGUAACCAUCUCACUCAGUUCUGACCGACUGCCUAUUGUGUUUCACACCCAAAUUUAAUACAUCCACGAACCCCUCCAUUUCAAGUGGUCCUUCGAGCCGGAUUGAGUGAAUCACAGUAGAGAGAUGAUGUCGAAUUCUGAGCCAUAUCCUCCUGUUGUCAGACCUAGACGACAAAUAAGACAACCUGCAUAUCUAGCAGAUUAUGAAGUUCAUGGAUCAGGCUUUGUGAAGAGAGCUCCAGUAUCUAAUCGCCUGAGUGAAUACGCCAAUGAAGCAGUCGCACCCAUGUCAGCCAAUGUAUCACGAUCAUCUUCUCCGACGAGUCAGCCCUCAUACACAGAUGAUCUAAUACUCCAAGAUGUAUGGCCAGAGCCAUCUGGAUAUGAAUCGCCAGGGUAUGAUAAGCAACACUUUCAAGUCCAGCAGACCUCUGAUAUAAAGUCUAUGUGCAUGCAGAUGAAGAGGGACAAUGACGAGCUCCGUAGCUCCAUUCUACCAGAAAUCCUUUCAGCGCUUCAAG
ensembl:processed_transcript